UACGUAGGGCGCGAGCGUUGUCCGGAUUUAUUGGGCGUAAAGAGCUCGUAGGCGGCUCGUUGCGUCGGCUGUGAAAACCCGCAGCUCAACUGUGGGCUUGCGGUCGAUACGGGCAUCACUGGAGUUCGGCAGGGGAGACUGGAAUUCCUGGUGUAGCGGUGAAAUGCGCAGAUAUCAGGAGGAACACCGGUGGCGAAGGCGGGUCUCUGGGCCGAUACUGACGCUGAGGAGCGAAAGCGUGGGGAGCGAACAGG
rnacentral:rRNA from 1 species